GUGUGGAUUUGGAUUUGUGGCAGCCCCAUCCCCCGGGCUCUCACAGUGUCCUGUGCCAGAGCAAACUGUGACCCAGAACCGUUGCCUGGCCUCUGCCUAUAGGAUGUCACCGCUGAAGCAGGUUGUGCAGUG
ensembl:snoRNA small nucleolar RNA SNORA42/SNORA80 family